CGGGUUUUGGCUAGUCAACACUGUAUAAAGUCGCCACUCUUCUUCCUUUGGUACGGACAAUGUCAUAAUACCUGAAGGUCCAUUAAACUUUAAGGAUGUUGUUCCAUUUGGUAGGAACGUAAUCUGCGCUUGUAAUUUGGAUAGCACAUCACGUCCCAGCAAUUGGACUGGACACUCAGGCAUAUAAAGGAAUUGAUGUUUUACUACGUGGCCUCCCAAUGUACAGAGUCGACU